rnacentral:rRNA from 1 species
AUGUAUCCUGUUAUUAUUAGUGCUAACCUUUCAGAACACGAAGAAGAAAGAUUAUUGAAAAUUUUGAAGAAGCAUCGAGCUGCUAUUGGAUAUACUCUUGAUGAUCUUAAGGGCAUUAGUCCCACUCUAUGCCAGCGCAAGAUUAAUAUGGAACCUGAUACUAAACUCGUUGUUGAUCACCAACGUCGUUUGAAUCCAAAGAUAAAAGAAGUGGUAAGAACUGAAAUAUUAAAGCUUCUGGAAGCAGGUAUAAUCUAUCCCAUAGCUGAUAGUAGAUGGGUAAGUCCCGUUCAUUGUGCCCCUAAGAAGGGAGGUAUUACUGUUGUUCCCAAUGAUAAAAAAUGA